GGAGGGUUAGCCAAGUGGUCCACGGCAGCGGUUUGCUAAACCGUCACGAUGUUAAAGUCGUGCAUGGGUUCGAAUCCCAUACCCUCCG
rnacentral:tRNA from 1 species